UACGUAGGGGGCAAGCGUUGUCCGGAAUCAUUGGGCGUAAAGGAGCGUGUAGGCGGCCCGGUAAGUCCGCUGUGAAAGUCCAGGGCUCAACCCUGGGAUGCCGGUGGAUACUGUCGGGCUCGAGUCCGGAAGAGGAGUGUGGAAUUCCUGGUGUAGCGGUGAAAUGCGCAGAUAUCAGGAGGAACACCAAUGGCGAAGGCAGCACUCUGGGACGUGACUGACGCUGAGACGCGAAAGCGUGGGGAGCAAACAGG
rnacentral:rRNA from 1 species